rnacentral:rRNA from 1 species
UAUAAGAUAUUUAUAUAAGCAGCUUCAUAGAACAUCUGUUACGCAAGUAAAGGACAGUGUAUGUAAGCAAGCCUUAUAUAAAACACUUUAGUUAAUAAAGAUCGAAGACAGUGUUAGGUGGGCAGUUUACUUGGGGCGAGGUCUGGCUAAAAGGUAACGCCAGAGAGCAAAAGGUAUGCUCAGUAUUGUCGGAAACAAUAUGUAGAGCGUAAUAGUAUAAGCAUGCCUGAUUAUAAGACUGACAAGUCGAAUAAAGACGAAAGUCUGCUAUAGUGACCCUCACACGCUAUGUGGAAAGGUGUGAGAUCAACGAAUCAAAGUUACUCCAGGGAUAACAGGGUAGUCCUGGCUUAUAGUUCUUAUAGACGCCAGGGUUCGCCACCUUAACUAACAUUGGGGCUCUUAUCUAGGAAACUAGGUUAGGAAUGCAUUUGGCUAUAUGCUGGAACCCCCGUUUGCAUUUAAUUUAACAAAGAACAUUAUUUUUAAUAGCAAUGUAAAUAUUACGUGGCUUGCUUUAAUAUAAAAAGCUUGUUGACACAUGUGAUUGCGGGCAAUCAGCAGGGAAGUUCAAGCAACUUAAAUUUUUCUGUUGCAUAACCCCUCAACGACCACACGCCGAACACCCUUAUAAAGGGUGAUGAUAUGGUCUACUCUUACAAGAAAUUGUAAGUCAAUUCAAAUUAUAAAUAAAUUGAAUUGAUAUACACAACUACAUAAAAAACAAAUUUUUUCUUUAUACAUUAUGAUACAAAAAAAUAACUUAUCAACAUUUCCUUUGUUUUUGUUGGCUUGGCUUGGUCCUAUUCUAGCAAAAGGUUAGGUUUUAGAGCAUCAUCUAAUACACUGUUUUUAAGCUUAAUAAAACUUAUAUACAUCCAUAUUUUGAUUAUAAGCUUUAAGUAAUAUAGAAAAUGGUGCCAAUUGUAGUGUGUAUAAUAAUACACAGACGAUGUUGCCUCAGGUCAUCCUAGAGCUGCACAAGGUUCUAAGGGCGCAACUGUUCUUUGCAUAAUGACCUACGUGAGGUGAGUUUAAACCGCCGUAAGGCAGGUUUGGUUCUAUCUAGACAGCCAGAAUAUUUAACCAAGCACUAGAAUUCCACUGUACGAAAGGACCCGGAAUUCCACGCCAAUGGUUUAGCAAUUGUUUUGAAAAAAGCAUUGUUGCAACGCUAAGCGUGAAAUGUUAAUUGCUGAAAAACUAUCAAGCAAGAAACAAUUGUAAAGGUUAUAGUAGAUCGCAUUUGCGUGAAUAGGCGCGGGGUGUAAGCUUUGUAACAUGCUGAGCUACCGCGUACUAAUUACUUUUUUU